rnacentral:tRNA from 1 species
GGCCGGCUGGCCAAAUGGUAAGGCGUCGGACUCCUACAAAAGUGUAAUCCGAAGAUUCUGGGUUCGAGUCCCAGGUUGGUCG